UACGUAGGGUGCGAGCGUUGUCCGGAAUUACUGGGCGUAAAGAGCUCGUAGGUGGUUUGUCGCGUUGUUCGUGAAAACCUGAGGCUUAACCUUGGGCGUGCGGGCGAUACGGGCAGACUAGAGUGUGGUAGGGGAGACUGGAAUUCCUGGUGUAGCGGUGAAAUGCGCAGAUAUCAGGAGGAACACCGAUGGCGAAGGCAGGUCUCUGGGCCACUACUGACGCUGAGAAGCGAAAGCAUGGGGGAGCGAACAGG
rnacentral:rRNA from 1 species